GCCAAAAUAGCUCAGUUGGGAGAGCGUUAUAUUGAAGAUCUAAAGAUCCCUGGUUCGAAUCCGGGUUCCAGCA
rnacentral:tRNA from 1 species